rnacentral:other from 1 species
CAAACCCUGCUUGGUGCGUAAUCAGGCUUUUUUUUAACCCACGUUUAAUAUAAGGGAUCGCGUCCUUUUACCGCGGUUUGCAGGCCUCCCGGUUAAUCCGGAUGUUGGAAGCAAUAAAACGGUGAAGACGGAACCCACCUGCCGGUUGUGCAGGUUAUUAAAUUAGUUUGAUACGGCCGAAGCGGGGCUUUU